rfam:Salmo salar isolate Sally breed double haploid chromosome ssa14, whole genome shotgun sequence.
GGUUCUAACUACUGUAAGUCGCUCUGGAUAAGAGCGUCUGCUAAAUGACGUAAA